UACGUAGGGGGCAAGCGUUGUCCGGAUUUAUUGGGCGUAAAGAGCGUGUAGGCGGCUAGAUAGGUCCGUUGUGAAAACUCGAGGCUCAACCUCGAGACGUCGAUGGAAACCAUCUGGCUAGAGUCCGGAAGAGGAGAGUGGAAUUCCGUGGUGUAGCGGUGAAAUGCGCAGAUAUCAGGAAGAACACCCGUGGCGAAGGCGGCUCUCUGGGACGGUACUGACGCUGAGACGCGAAAGCCGUGGGGGAGCGAACAGG
rnacentral:rRNA from 1 species